GAUGAACGCUGGCGGCGUGCCUAAUACAUGCAAGUCGAGCGAACGGACGAGAAGCUUGCUUCUCUGAUGUUAGCGGCGGACGGGUGAGUAACACGUGGAUAACCUACCUAUAAGACUGGGAUAACUUCGGGAAACCGGAGCUAAUACCGGAUAAUAUUUUGAACCGCAUGGUUCAAAAGUGAAAGACGGUCUUGCUGUCACUUAUAGAUGGAUCCGCGCUGCAUUAGCUAGUUGGUAAGGUAACGGCUUACCAAGGCAACGAUGCAUAGCCGACCUGAGAGGGUGAUCGGCCACACUGGAACUGAGACACGGUCCAGACUCCUACGGGAGGCAGCAGUAGGGAAUCUUCCGCAAUGGGCGAAAGCCUGACGGAGCAACGCCGCGUGAGUGAUGAAGGUCUUCGGAUCGUAAAACUCUGUUACUAGGGAAGAACAUAUGUGUAAGUAACUGUGCACAUCUUGACGGUACCUAAUCAGAAAGCCACGGCUAACUACG
rnacentral:rRNA from 1 species